UCGCUGAACUUAAGCAUAUCAAUAAGCGGAGGAAAAGAAACCAACAGGGAUUGCCUCAGUAACGGCGAGUGAAGCGGCAACAGCUCAAAUUUGAAAUCUGGCUCCCUUUCAGGAGUCCGAGUUGUAAUUUGCAGAGGGUGCUUCUGAGUAUGGUCCUAGCCUAAGUUCCUUGGAACAGGAUGUCAUAGAGGGUGAGAAUCCCGUAUGUGGCUUGGAGGCCUGCUCAAUGUGAAGCCCCUUCGACGAGUCGAGUUGUUUGGGAAUGCAGCUCAAAAUGGGUGGUAAGUUUCAUCUAAAGCUAAAUACUGGCGGGAGACCGAUAGCGCACAAGUAGAGUGAUCGAAAGAUGAAAAGCACUUUGGAAAGAGAGUUAAAAAGUACGUGAAAUUGUUGAAAGGGAAGCGCUUGCAACCAGACUUGCCCUCAGUUGAUCAACCGGUGAUCUUCACCGGGGUAUGCUGCUAAGGGCAGGCCAGCAUCAGUUUGGGCGGUUGGAAAAAGACCAUGGGAAUGUGGCUCUCUUCGGGGAGUGUUAUAGCCUGUGGUGUCAUACAGCCAGCCUGGACUGAGGACCGCGCCUUUUGUGCUAGGAUGCUGGCGUAAUGGUUGUAAGCGACCCGUCUUGAAACACGGACCAAGGAGUCUAACAUCUAUGCAAGUGUUUGGGUGUCAAACCCAUGCGCGUAAUGAAAGUGAAUGGAGGUGGGAACCCUUAAGGGUGCACCAUCGACCGAUCCUGAUGUCUUCGGAUGGAUUUGAGUAAGAGCAUAGCUGUUGGGACCCGAAAGAUGGUGAACUAUGCCUGAAUAGGGUGAAGCCAGAGGAAACUCUGGUGGAGGCUCGCAGCGGUUCUGACGUGCAAAUCGAUCGUCAAAUUUGGGUAUAGGGGCGAAAGACUAAUCGAACCAUCAACACCCCAUGCAAAAAUUAAAUGGGUGAAUGCAUAGGUGGUUAAGAGGCGGCUAAAGUGUCCGUCUAGUCCCAAAGUUCACGGGGCGACACUGCCAAAUUGCGGGGACCCCCUUA
rnacentral:rRNA from 1 species